rnacentral:misc_RNA from 1 species
ACUACUUAGUAAAGGCGCUGACAGAGAGUUUUCUAGAUGAUAAACAAAAUGUCCACGGAGUAAUAACCAGAUACCUUACUCCAUAUCGUUGCUCAAAUAGGCAUAUGAUACCUUUCCUGUUAAUAGCAAGGGAAGGUCAUAGCAUAUCGCAAACCUUACGUUGCUUGGUGAUUUCAAAAAUGUUAUUUUUCACUUCUGCUAUAAUUUGUAACUUAGCUUUUCUUUGAUGAUCAGUGUCAUGUUUGAAAGACUUG